ACCCUUUAACGUUUGAUGUUCUAACCCGGGUCCAUAAUCUGGAUCGGGGACCGUGUCUGGUGGGUAGUUUGACUGGGGCGGUCUCCUCCCAAAGAGUAACGGAGGAGCACGAAGGUUGGCUAAGCAUGGUCGGACAUCAUGCGGUUAGUGCAAAGGCAUAAGCCAGCUUGACUGCGAGAGUGACGGCUCGAGCAGGUACGAAAGUAGGUCUUAGUGAUCCGGUGGUUCUGAAUGGAAGGGCCAUCGCUCAACGGAUAAAAGGUACUCCGGGGAUAACAGGCUGAUACCGCCCAAGAGUUCAUAUCGACGGCGGUGUUUGGCACCUCGAUGUCGGCUCAUCACAUCCUGGGGCUGAAGUAGGUCCCAAGGGUAUGGCUGUUCGCCAUUUAAAGUGGUACGCGAGCUGGGUUUAGAACGUCGUGAGACAGUUCGGUCCCUAUCUGCCGUGGGCGCUGGAAGAUUGAGAGGGGUUGCUCCUAGUACGAGAGGACCGGAGUGAACGCACCACUGGUGUACGGGUUGUGAUGCCAAUUGCAUUGCCCGGUAGCUAAGUGCGGAAGAGAUAACCGCUGAAAGCAUCUAAGCGGGAAACUUGCCUCGAGAUGAGUCUUCCCUGACCCUUUAAGGGUCCUGAAGGAACGUUUGAG
rnacentral:rRNA from 1 species